GCCAUCCAUGAUAUCACUCACCACCGCCCUCGCCCACCGAGGAUGGGUCCCACUCAACCGUCCAUCCCGGAGGGAUCGGAUACGGCCAAGUAACACUAGCAAUCAUAUCAUCAAUAUCAACAUUACCUGAAAACAUAGCCACAAGCAAAGCUGAGUAUACUAAUACUCCACAAGACUUAACCGCCAGAUGGUAUCUAAUCCACCGACUCCUAGACAUGCAAGACUUUUUGGGCGAGGGUUUGUUUUGC
rnacentral:lncRNA from 1 species